UGGCGACGGGUGAGUAACACGUGAGCAAUCUGCCCCUGACUCUGGGAUAACAGUUGGAAACAGCUGCUAAUACCGGAUACGAGCUGCGAAGGCAUCUUCAGCAGCUAGAAAGAAUUUCGGUCAGGGAUGAGCUCGCGGCCUAUCAGCUUGUUGGUGAGGUAACGGCUCACCAAGGCGUCGACGGGUAGCCGGCCUGAGAGGGUGACCGGCCACACUGGGACUGAGACACGGCCCAGACUCCUACGGGAGGCAGCAGUGGGGAAUAUUGCACAAUGGGCGAAAGCCUGAUGCAGCAACGCCGCGUGAGGGACGACGGCCUUCGGGUUGUAAACCUCUUUUAGCAGGGAAGAAGCGAAAGUGACGGUACCUGCAGAAAAAGCACCGGCUAACUACGUGCCAGCAGCCGCGGUAAUACGUAGGGUGCAAGCGUUAUCCGGAAUUAUUGGGCGUAAAGAGCUCGUAGGCGGUUUGUCGCGUCUGCUGUGAAAACUGGAGGCUCAACCUCCAGCCUGCAGUGGGUACGGGCAGACUAGAGUGCGGUAGGGGAGAUUGGAAUUCCUGGUGUAGCGGUGGAAUGCGCAGAUAUCAGGAGGAACACCGAUGGCGAAGGCAGAUCUCUGGGCCGUAACUGACGCUGAGGAGCGAAAGGGUGGGGAGCAAACAGGCUUAGAUACCCUGGUAGUCCACCCCGUAAACGUUGGGAACUAGUUGUGGGGACCAUUCCACGGUUUCCGUGACGCAGCUAACGCAUUAAGUUCCCCGCCUGGGGAGUACGGCCGCAAGGCUAAACUCAAGGAUUGACGG
rnacentral:rRNA from 1 species